UACGAAGGGGGCUAGCGUUGCUCGGAAUCACUGGGCGUAAAGGGUGCGUAGGCGGGUCUUUAAGUCAGGGGUGAAAUCCUGGAGCUCAACUCCAGAACUGCCUUUGAUACUGGCGAUCUCGAGUCCGGGAGAGGUGAGUGGAACUGCGAGUGUAGAGGUGAAAUUCGUAGAUAUUCGCAAGAACACCAGUGGCGAAGGCGGCUCACUGGCCCGGUACUGACGCUGAGGUGCGAAAGCGUGGGAGCAAACA
rnacentral:rRNA from 1 species